AUCGCUUCUCGGCCUUUUGGCUAAGAUCAAGUGUAGAUAAUUACAUUUUAAUUUUUGCGGUAUGUCAAACAGCAAUAAUUUUU
ensembl:snRNA LOC120099538 U2 spliceosomal RNA